rnacentral:rRNA from 1 species
GAUGAACGCUGGCGGUAUGCUUAACACAUGCAAGUCGAACGGACUCUUCGGAGUUAGUGGCGGACGGGUGAGUAACGCGUGAGGAUCUGGCUUUGGGUUCGGGACAACCACUGGAAACGGUGGCUAAUACCGGAUGUGCCGAGAGGUAAAAGAGAAAUUGCCUGAAGAUGAGCUCGCGUCUGAUUAGCUAGUUGGUGAGGUAAAGGCUCACCAAGGCAGCGAUCAGUAGCUGGUCUGAGAGGAUGACCAGCCACACUGGGACUGAGACACGGCCCAGACUCCUACGGGAGGCAGCAGUGGGGAAUUUUCCGCAAUGGGCGAAAGCCUGACGGAGCAAUACCGCGUGAGGGAAGAAGGCUCUUGGGUUGUAAACCUCUUUUCUUAGGGAAGAACAAAAUGACGGUACCUAAGGAAUCAGCAUCGGCUAACUCCGUG